rnacentral:rRNA from 1 species
CGCAAUGGGCGAAAGCCUGACGCAGCAACGCCGCGUGAGGGAUGAAGGUUCUCGGAUUGUAAACCUCUUUCAGCAGGAACGAAAUUGACGGUACCUGCAGAAGAAGCUCCGGCCAACUACGUGCCAGCAGCCGCGGUAAUACGUAGGGAGCAAGCGUUGUCCGGAUUUAUUGGGCGUAAAGAGCUCGUAGGCGGUUAAGUAAGUCAGGUGUGAAACCUCCAGGCUCAACCUGGAGACGCCACUUGAUACUGCUUUGACUUGAGUUCGGUAGGGGUAAGCGGAAUUCCUGGUGUAGCGGUGAAAUGCGCAGAUAUCAGGAGGAACACCGACGGCGAAGGCAGCUUACUGGGCCGAUACUGACGCUGAGGAGCGAAAGCGUGGGGAGCGAACAGGAUUAGAUACCCUGGUAGUCCACGCCGUAAACGUUGGGAACUAGGUGUGGGAGGUAAUCAACGCCUUCCGUGCCGUAGCUAACGCAUUAAGUUCCCCGCCUGGGGAGUACGGUCGCAAGACUAAAACUCAAAGGAAUUGACGG